GACGUAGGGCGCGAGCGUUGUCCGGAUUUAUUGGGCGUAAAGAGCUCGUAGGCGGCUUGUUGCGUCGACUGUGAAAACCUGCGGCUCAACCGUGUGGUCUGCAGUCGAUACGGGCAGGCUAGAGUUCGGUAGGGGAGAUCGGAAUUCCUGGUGUAGCGGUGAAAUGCGCAGAUAUCAGGAGGAACACCGGUGGCGAAGGCGGAUCUCUGGGCCGAUACUGACGCUGAGACGCGAAAGCGUGGGGAGCGAACAGG
rnacentral:rRNA from 1 species